rnacentral:rRNA from 1 species
GAUGAACGCUGGCGGCGUGCCUAAUACAUGCAAGUCGAGCGAACAGACGAGGAGCUUGCUCCUCUGACGUUAGCGGCGGACGGGUGAGUAACACGUGGAUAACCUACCUAUAAGACUGGGAUAACUUCGGGAAACCGGAGCUAAUACCGGAUAAUAUAUUGAACCGCAUGGUUCAAUAGUGAAAGACGGUUUUGCUGUCACUUAUCGAUGGUUCCGCGCCGCAUUAGCUAGUUGGUAAGGUAACGGCUUACCAAGGCGACGAUGCGUAGCCGACCUGAGAGGGUGAUCGGCCACACUGGAACUGAGACACGGUCCAGACUCCUACGGGAGGCAGCAGUAGGGAAUCUUCCGCAAUGGGCGAAAGCCUGACGGAGCAACGCCGCGUGAGUGAUGAAGGUCUUCGGAUCGUAAAACUCUGUUAUUAGGGAAGAACAAAUGUGUAAGUAACUAUGCACGUCUUGACGGUACCUAAUCAGAAAGCCACGGCUAACUACGUG